AUCCACAUUGUACAGUGGAUCACUUGGCUCGUAUAUCGAUGAAGAACGCAGCACACUGCGGUAAUUUCUGUGAACUGCAGGACACACUGAACAACGAAAUUUCGAACGCACCAUUUCAGUUGUAAAUAACACGUUUACAACUACAUCCGACUGAGAAUCAGUAUCAAUACUUAAUUAG
rnacentral:rRNA from 1 species